AAAAACCCUAAACCCUAUGGGACAACUCCUACGGUUUUCUAUUGCUUACUCCGACUCCACUCGGUGGUGCCGCCAAAGAUAACGGAUAGAGGAAGACCAGAGGGGCGGAUGCGGAUGAAAAAGCAGGCUUCUUUGAACACAAGUAUGGCACCAGAAUAUUCCUGGUUUCACCUUCGGCGGUACGACACAAAAAUGAAUAAGAUAGUCUCAAGUGACCAGCAGGACUUGUUCGCAUCCUAUGACGAAGGCUUAUGACAGUUUUGACUGGAUGGGGUUGCUGGAGAACCUUAUGUAUAUGGUUUGAGAAGUUUCUGCAAUUCAGGGAGACGAUUUGUUCCAUUCUGCAAGGACUUUGGUGCCAUUCAACAGGGCGCAGUCCAGAACUGGAAAGCAACUUUAAGUUCUGCCAUUAUGCAGCAACUUGAUUAUAAUCUGUUCAUUGCCAGGCUUUGGUUUUGGCAAUCCACUAGGGAACUUGUCCACUGGAUUUGAAAAGGUGAUGCCGGGGUAAUGGCAAUUGUCUUGGAGAUAAAGUUCAUGCUUAUUUUGGUGGGACGAGUGUUCAUGAGGUUAGCAUAUUCUUCAAGUAGAAGGUCAUGCUGUUGGUACUCCCAAUCGUGUGUUUGACAUGUUGCAGACGCAAUCUCUUUGCUUUUGCUACAUCAAGAUUUUUGUAUUGGAUGAGGCUGAUGAAAUGCUUUCACAUGAUUUCAAGGUUCAGCUUUGUCGUUUUGUCUUGGUCCCAGCUCUUGUUUAUUGGGGUGUAAUGAAAGAUGAGAAAUGUAAAUUUUCUAAGAUGUGGCUGUCAGAUAUGACGUUUUCCAGCUUCUGCCAACCAAGAUUCAGGUUAUAGCUUUCUGUGCAAAGGACUUUAGAUCACAAAGAAAUUGAUGAAGAAAGCUCUGAGAUUCUUUGUGAAGCCCUUGAGGGUAUCAAACAGUUUAUAUAAUCCACCUAAACACAACAAACGAUGUGGGAUUUACAUGAGAUGCCACAGGUGUUGGUAAUAUUAUAUUACCCCUAGUUGGCAGUAGCAUCAUCCAUGAUAGGCCCUCGUUUACAUGUUCUGAUCUAUAUAGUGAUGUCACUGUACUAGUGGGUAUGCAUUCACACAGAUAAUAAUGGAUAUCUUCUGUAAAUUCAGGAGGAAA